CUUGUUAGUUGCCAUCAUUCAGUUGGGCACUCUAGCGAGACUGCCGGUAAUAAACCGGAGGAAGGUGGGGAUGACGUCAAAUCAUCAUGCCCCUUAUGACCUGGGCUACACACGUGCUACAAUGGUUGGUACAACGAGUUGCGAGUCGGUGACGGCGAGCUAAUCUCUUAAAGCCAAUCUCAGUUCGGAUUGUAGGCUGCAACUCGCCUACAUGAAGUCGGAAUCGCUAGUAAUCGCGGAUCAGCACGCCGCGGUGAAUACAUUCCCGGGCCUUGU
rnacentral:rRNA from 1 species